rnacentral:rRNA from 1 species
UACGAAGGGUGCAAGCGUUACUCGGAAUUACUGGGCGUAAAGCGUGCGUAGGUGGUUUGUUAAGUCUGUUGUGAAAGCCCCGGGCUCAACCUGGGAAUGGCAAUGGAUACUGGCAAGCUAGAGUGCGGUAGAGGGUAGUGGAAUUCCCGGUGUAGCGGUGAAAUGCGUAGAUAUCUGGAGGAAUACCGGUGGCGAAGGCGGCAUCCUGGACCGGCAUUGACGCUGAGUGAGCGAAAGCCAGGGGAGCAAACGGG